CCCAUCUGGGGUGGGGAGGCUCGUCAAGGCUACUAAUUUUGCCUGGGCUUCUAAGAUCUGACCGGGGAGGCCUUAGUGUCUCCUCUCCUUCGGGAGAACGGGAGGACGCCUGCAGCCUAUGGAGGAAGACCAACCUCCCCUGAAGCCCUUGGGUUCUCCAAAGAAACAGUACCAUUAAAAUGGAGAUUUAUUUCAAGGAAUUGGAUCACAUGAUUAUGGAGGCUGGCAAUUCCAAAAUCUGCAGAGUAGGAUGGCAAUCCAGAGACACAGGAAGAGCUGAUGCUAAAGUUCAGGUCAAAGGUGGUCUGCUGGCAGAAUUUUCUCUUGAUGGAGUGAGCAUUCUUCCCAGAGUUGACGUUGCAGAAAAUUGUAAUGAGAGGUGAUUACGGUCACAAGAAUUUAAAAAUACGUCCCACUGAGAUAUACGACUUGAUUGGCAGACAUUCCCUGUAGUGCAUAAACUAUGUGACACU